CGAAAGCCUGACGGAGCAAUGCCGCGUGGAGGAUGAAGGCCUGUGGGUUGUAAUAUCCUUUUCUCAGAGAAGAAGUUCUGACGGUAUCUGAGGAAUAAGCAUCGGCUAACUCCGUGCCAGCAGCCGCGGUAAUACGGAGGAUGCAAGCGUUAUCCGGAAUCAUUGGGCGUAAAGCGUCUGUAGGUGGCUUGGUAAGUCGACUGUUAAAUCGUAGAGCUCAACUCUAUAUCGGCAGUCGAAACUACUUCGCUUGAGUGUGGUAGGGGCAGAGGGAAUUCCCGGUGUAGCGGUGAAAUGCGUAGAUAUCGGGAAGAACACCAACGGCGAAAGCACUCUGCUGGGCCAACACUGACACUGAGA
rnacentral:rRNA from 1 species